GAAAGGAACACCAGUGAAGGGUGCCUGUGACUGUGUUGGCUGCGGUUGACUCCUUUCCUGCCUAAAUGCGUGGAUAUCUUGGGUAAAUUCGGGUGAACUCACUCGGACAAGGGCCUUGCGUGAACCUGAAAGAGUCAAGGCUGAUGUCCCCAGCACCGACAGACCCGACGGACGCCUCCAACACCAGCUGGAUCUCCUGGUCGAUGGCUACAGUUUGCUGACAGGCGUACCAGCUGUUCCAGAUGCCUCGUAACUCUGCCCGUGGCCUCGUCCGCGUGCCUGCUGAAGUGCGGCGGCUCCAGCGAGGGAAGGAUCCAGUCACCGCGUCCAAGCAAGGUAAAGUCUGAGUUGUUCGAGUAAUGUUCCCUUUUUUUAGACGCCUUGUCUCUGUGUUCUCCCUCACUUUGUUCGUAAUGUGGCUGUUGUUGAAAUCUCUACUUUAUUUGUUUAUUUUUUUUAUUUUUUUAUUUG